rnacentral:rRNA from 1 species
UACGUAGGUGACCAGCGUUGUCCGGAUUUACUGGGCGUAAAGAGCGCGCAGGCGGUCGUUCAAGUCGAGUGUGAAAGCCCCCGGCUCAACUGGGGAGGGUCACUCGAUACUGAUCGACUUGAAGGCAGGAGAGGGAAGCGGAAUUCCCGGUGUAGUGGUGAAAUGCGUAGAUAUCGGGAGGAACACCAGUGGCGAAAGCGGCUACCUGGCCCAUUCUUGACGCUGAGGCGCGAAAGCUAGGGGAGCAAACGGG